rnacentral:misc_RNA from 1 species
GCAGGAAUGUCAAGGUUUCUCUUAAUAUUGAGGAAAGAGUCGAAGACUACUGGUACAGAAGGAGGCCUGUUGGUGGCUUUAGAAAAGAAGGAGACAGGAGGAUCAGAAUCAAGGGUGAGACCCCAUGCUUUGUCCAUAAAUCAAGAAAGAGAGUAAGAGAAAGAAAAGGAGAGAGGGAAAACAGAGACCAAAAGCACAGAUAGAUAGAGAGAGAGAGAGAAAGAGGUGUUAUGUGUGAGAAGUCUGUGAAGUCUUUCACCG